rnacentral:rRNA from 1 species
AUUGAACGCUGGCGGCAGGCCUAACACAUGCAAGUCGAGCGGAAACGAUGGGAGCUUGCUCCCAGGCGUCGAGCGGCGGACGGGUGAGUAACACGUGGGAAUGUACCCAGUAGUGGGGGAUAGCCCGGGGAGACUCGGAUUAAUACCGCAUAAUAUCUACGGAUGAAAGCAGGGGCUCUUCGGACCUUGUGCUAUUGGAUCAGCCCGCGUCAGAUUAGCUAGUUGGUGAGGUAAAGGCUCACCAAGGCGACGAUCUGUAGCUGGCCUGAGAGGGUGGUCAGCCACACUGGAACUGAGACACGGUCCAG